UUACUACUCCCUCCGCCCGGAAAUACUUGUCAUUGAAAUGAAUGUAUCUAGAUGUAUUUUAGUUCUCGAUACAUCCAUUUUCAUCCGUUUUGAUGACAAGUAAUUUCGGACGGAGGGAGUACACC
rnacentral:pre_miRNA from 1 species